rnacentral:rRNA from 1 species
UCCUACGGGGGGCAGCAGUGGGGAAUAUUGCACAAUGGGGGAAACCCUGAUGCAGCGACGCCGCGCGAGUGAAGAAGUAUCUCGGUACGUAAAGCCCUAUCAGCAGGGAAGAAAAAAAGUCUUUGGCUUUGGACGGUACCUGACUAAGAAGCCCCGGCUAACUACGUGCCAGCAGCCGCGGUAAUACGUAGGGGGCAAGCGUUAUCCGGAUUUACUGGGUGUAAAGGGAGCGUAGACGGUUAUGCAAGUCUGAAGUGAAAGCCCAAGGCUCAACCAUGGGACUGCUUUGGAAACUGUAAAACUGG